GCCUUUUGAUAAAAUGUAAAAGGUCCAGCCUGCCCAGUGACAAAAUUAAACGGCCGCGGUACCCUAACCGUGCAAAGGUAGCGCAAUCACUUGUUCUUUAAAUAAGGACUAGUAUGAACGGCAUCACGAGGAUUAUACUGUCUCCCCCCUUAAAUCAGUGAAACUGAUCCCCCCGUGAAGAAGCGGGAAUAAACUUAUAAGACGAGAAGACCCUGUGAAGCUUUAAACCUACGCUACCUAUUUCAAAACACACCAUAAUAAACAGAUAGGCUUACGCACUAGUUUUAGGUUGGGGCGACCACGGAGUAAAACUAAACCUCCGCGAUGAAAAGACCCUACUUUUCUAAUCCAAGAGCAACAUCUCUAAGAAUCAACAAACUGACAUAAUUGACCCAAACACUUUGAUCAACGAACCAAGUUACCCCAGGGAUAACAGCGCAAUCCAUUUCAAGAGCCCCUAUCGACAAAUGGGUUUACGACCUCGAUGUUGGAUCAGGGUAUCCCAGUGGUGCAGCCGCUACUA
rnacentral:rRNA from 1 species